rnacentral:rRNA from 1 species
GACGAACGCUGGCGGCGUGCUUAACACAUGCAAGUCGAACGGAAAGGCCCUGCUUUUGUGGUGUGCUCGAUUGGCGAACGGGUGAGUAACACGUGAUUAACCUGCCCUUGACUUUGGGAUAACUUCAGGAAACUGGGGCUAAUACCGGAUAGGAGCUCCUGCUGCAUGGUGGGGGUUGGAAAGUUUCGGCGGUUGGGGAUGGACUCGCGGCUUAUCAGCUUGUUGGUGGGGUAGUGGCUUACCAAGGCUUUGACGGGUAGCCGGCCUGAGAGGGUGACCGGCCACAUUGGGACUGAGAUACGGCCCAGACUCCUACGGGAGGCAGCAGUGGGGAAUAUUGCACAAUGGGCGGAAGCCUGAUGCAGCAACGCCGCGUGCGGGAUGACGGCCUUCGGGUUGUAAACCGCUUUCGCCUGUGACGAAGCGUGAGUGACGGUAAUGGGUAAAGAAGCACCGGCUAACUACGUG